rnacentral:rRNA from 1 species
GGCUUGACUCCUUUCUGCUUCAAGGAACCGGGCGACUGCUGCCCCACCGUAGAGCAGUGCGAGGAGAGAUAGAUCUCCACGACUCCACUCGCCUCUUCUUUCCGUCCUCCUCUCCAUGGCUCCCCUCAAGGGGAUCGAUGCGGUGGCUCUCCCCUAGCAGUUCUGGCUCACCCUACUCUCAGCUCUCCCCGGCCACCAUCUCGGUGUGCGGUGGGCGGUGGCUGUGGUUGGGUCGCCCACAAGAGGACAUGCCCCUAAUUCACAAAAAAAAAGAGAGUACAUGCCCUUGGCCGCCAUCGGAUUUUCUCCCUCUCCUGUGCCAGAUCUGCUUCUUUCUGCAAGCUGGGUGGUGAAGAAGGGAGAGAGAGGGCUGCAGCUGUUUGUGCUGCUGCUGGUCCAACCAGCAGGUCCUUUGUUCGUUUUUUCGAUUACUUUCUCUUAACUUUUUUGGACCCUGAUUAUUUCAUGAGGUCCUUACCACCGGAUCUAAAGCAUCUUUGGAGGAUUUCUUUAUCUGCAUUAGUUUUAGCCUUUCUAUGCUAAUUUUCUCGGUGUAUGUACGGCGUGGUCC